UGAGGACAAAAAGGUGUGCUCCAAUAAUUAAUUUAAGAAAUCGGCUUUCAAAUACCUUUUUAUCAUUUAAUAGGCCACUUAUCUUGUAUCGAGAACAGCAUGUCAAAACAAGGGGAUGGAUUUGGUAGUUUUUGAAACUGAAUUUGAACGGGAUUGCAUGAUGCCUUUUGUGGAUAACGCAUUCUCCUCCGGGUCAUUCGUGUGGAUUGGGAAGGAUAAUAUCGGCAGAGCUGACCAGAAUUACGUUUGGAUCAACGGUGCGAACGACACUUACACCUGGUGGAAUCCUGGUGAGCCCCAGUAUCCUGCUACUGAGCAUUGCGUCUUAAUAAUGGCACAAUUACACAGCGGGAAAUGGUUCGAUUAUUCCUGCUACACAGAGCAAUUCUAUGUGUGCGAGAGCAAGUCCUAAUGGAGAGCAAAGCUAAUUCACGGAAAUAAAGGCUCCAAAAUAUUUUAUUUUCAG